CCUACGGGAGGCAGCAGUGAGGAAUAUUGGUCAAUGGACGAGAGUCUGAACCAGCCAAGUAGCGUGAAGGAUGACUGCCCUCUGGGUUGUAAACUUCUUUUAUAUGGGAAUAAAAUGUUCCACGUGUGGGAUUUUGUAUGUACCAUAUGAAUAAGGAUCGGCUAACUCCGUGCCAGCAGCCGCGGUAAUACGGAGGAUCCGAGCGUUAUCCGGAUUUAUUGGGUGUAAAGGGCGCGUAGGUGGAUUGUUAAGUCAGUUGUGAAAGUUUGCGGCUCAACCGUAAAAUUGCAGUUGAAACUGGCAGUCUUGAGUACAGUAGAGGUGGGCGGAAUUCGUGGUGUAGCGGUGAAAUGCUUAGAUAUCACGAAGAACUCCGAUUGCGAAGGCAGUUCACUGGACUGCAACUGACACUGAGGCUCGAAGGUGUGGGUAUCAAACGGGAUUAGAUACCCGUGUAGUC
rnacentral:rRNA from 1 species